rnacentral:misc_RNA from 1 species
AAAGUCGUAACAAGGUUUCCGUAGGUGAACCUGCGGAAGGAUCAUUAAAAAAUCUGGCUGCAAAGCCUCUAUUUGUGCACCAUAUACGUGUGAGAAGAUUGUGAGGAUGUGUGUAAACAUACAACUUUCAACAGUGGAUCUCUCGGCUCUU